rnacentral:rRNA from 1 species
GAAGUGUAAACCAAACAUUUACUUUGAAAAAAUUAGAGUGUUCAAAGCAGGCCUUUGCUCGAAUAUAUUAGCAUGGAAUAAUAGAAUAGGACGUAUGGUUCUAUUUUGUUGGUUUCUAGGACCGUCGUAAUGAUUAAUAGGGACGGUCGGGGGCAUCAGUAUUCAGUUGUCAGAGGUGAAAUUCUUGGAUUUACUGAAGACUAACUACUGCGAAAGCAUUUGCCAAGGACGUUUUCAUUAAUCAAGAACGAAAGUUAAGGGAUCGAAGACGAUCAGAUACCGUCGUAGUCUUAACCGUAAACUAUGCCGACUAGGGAUCGGAGGGCGUUAUAAUAACCUCUCCGGCACCUUACGAGAAAUCAAAGUUUUUGGGUUCUGGGGGGAGUAUGGUUGCAAGGCUGAAACUUAAAGGAAUUGACGGAAGGGCACCACCAGGAGUGGAGCCUGCGGCUUAAUUUGACUCAACACGGGGAAACUCACCAGGUCCAGACACAAUAAGGAUUGACAGAUUGAGAGCUCUUUCAUGAUU